GCAGUCGAACGCUUCUUUCCUCCCGAGUGCUUGCACUCAAUUGGAAAGAGGAGUGGCGGACGGUUGAGUAACACGUGGGUAACCUACCCAUCAGAGGGGGAUAACACUUGGAAACAGGUGCUAAUACCGCAUAACAGUUUAUGCCGCAUGGCAUAAGAGUGAAAGGCGCUUUCGGGUGUCGCUGAUGGAUGGACCCGCGGUGCAUUAGCUAGUUGGUGAGGUAACGGCUCACCAAGGCCACGAUGCAUAGCCGACCUGAGAGGGUGACCGGCCACACUGGGACUGAGACACGAUCCAAACUCCAACGGGAGGCAGCAGUAGGGAAUCUUCGGCAAUGGACGAAAGUCUGACCGAGCAACGCCGCGUGAGUGAAGAAGGUUUUCGGAUCGUAAAACUCUGUUGUUAGAGAAGAACAAGGACGUUAGUAACUGAACGUCCCCUGACGGUAUCUAACCAGAAAGCCACGGCUAACUACGUGCCAGCAGCCGCGGUAAUACGUAGGUGGCAAGCGUUGUCCGGAUUUAUUGGGCGUAAAGCGAGCGCAGGCGGUUUCUUAAGUCUGAUGUGAAAGCCCCCGGCUCAACCGGGGAGGGUCAUUGGAAACUGGGAGACUUGAGUGCAGAAGAGGAGAGUGGAAUUCCAUGUGUAGCGGUGAAAUGCGUAGAUAUAUGGAGGAACACCAGUGGCGAAGGCGGCUCUCUGGUCUGUAACUGACGCUGAGGCUCGAAAGCGUGGGGAGCAAACAGGAUUAGAUACCCUGGUAGUCCACGCCGUAAACGAUGAGUGCUAAGUGUUGGAGGGUUUCCGCCCUUCAGUGCUGCAGCAAACGCAUUAAG
rnacentral:rRNA from 1 species